rnacentral:rRNA from 1 species
AGUUUGAUCAUGGCUCAGAGCGAACGCUGGCGGCAGGCCUAACACAUGCAAGUCGAACGGAUCCUUCGGGAUUAGUGGCGGACGGGUGAGUAACACGUGGGAACGUGCCUUUUGGUUCGGAACAACUCAGGGAAACUUGAGCUAAUACCGAAUGUGCCCUUCGGGGGAAAGAUUUAUCGCCAUUAGAGCGGCCCGCGUCUGAUUAGCUAGUUGGUGGGGUAAAGGCUCACCAAGGCUACGAUCAGUAGCUGGUCUGAGAGGAUGAUCAGCCACAUUGGGACUGAGACACGGCCCAAACUCCUACGGGAGGCAGCAGUGGGGAAUCUUGCGCAAUGGGCGAAAGCCUGACGCAGCCAUGCCGCGUGAAUGAUGAAGGUCUUAGGAUUGUAAAAUUCUUUCACCGGGGACGAUAAUGACGGUACCCGGAGAAGAAGCCCCGGCUAACUUCGUG